GAGGGUAUAGUUCAGUGGUAGAGCACAUGCUUAGCAUGCAAGAGGUCCUGGGUUCAACCCCUAGAACCUCCA
rnacentral:tRNA from 1 species